GUGAGACUCAGCGCUCCAACCCUUGCGAAUCCUACCAUUGCGGCGUUGUUUCGGCGGGUUUGUUGGUGGAUGGCAAUCCCUUCUGGGAGAGCCGUACACUGGCAUUCCGCCUGGCCAGCGGAGCCCGCCGGCAGCGCCAAAUUCUAUUUUAUAGCACAACUAUAUUCUGAGUGGCAAUACAAAACAAAGCA
rnacentral:misc_RNA from 1 species